GAUGAACGCUGGCGGCGUGCCUAAUACAUGCAAGUCGAGCGAAUGGAUUAAGAGCUUGCUCUUAUGAAGUUAGCGGCGGACGGGUGAGUAACACGUGGGUAACCUGCCCAUAAGACUGGGAUAACUCCGGGAAACCGGGGCUAAUACCGGAUAACAUUUUGAACCGCAUGGUUCGAAAUUGAAAGGCGGCUUCGGCUGUCACUUAUGGAUGGACCCGCGUCGCAUUAGCUAGUUGGUGAGGUAACGGCUCACCAAGGCAACGAUGCGGAGCCGACCUGAGAGGGGGAUCGGCCACGCUGGGACUGAGACACGGCCCAGACUCCUACGGGAGGCCGCAGUAGGGAAUCUUCCGCAAUGGACGAAAGUCUGACGGAGCAACGCCGCGUGAGUGAUGAAGGCUUUCGGGUCGUAAAACUCUGUUGUUAGGGAAGAACAAGUGCUAGUUGAAUAAGCUGGCACCUUGACGGUACCUAACCAGAAAGCCACGGCUAACUACGUGCCAGCAGCCGCCGUAA
rnacentral:rRNA from 1 species